CCACGAAGUAAGAAUAAGGAGACUUAACUAGAUAGUACAUAGAGAAAAAAAGUGUUAAAGUUGCUGUGCAAUAUUCAUAUAGUGCAAUCACGUCCAGUAUAUUGGCUGCGUUCGAAGAGCGUGCUAUCUGUGCUAUUGUAAUUCUAUCUGUUUUACAUCUAAUGAGAGGUAACAAUAAAAGAAUACAAUAUCGCAGAUAGCGUGCUCCCCGCAAAAGUACAAAAUUCUGAAGUAAUGGCUUGUUGUAUCAAAGAAUGUAAAUCAAGAGGAGGUAAAAAAGCUGAAAAAAGAAGGUUAUUUACACCUCGCACUGUAAGUAUUUACAUUGGUUUUAUGUUGAUCAUUGUUAUGGAUGC